CCAAACCGUUGUGUGCUGUUCUG
rnacentral:miRNA from 17 species